AGGGCGGCCGGAGGAGUUCACAUCAUGCCUAGCAGCGCACGAAAGCAGCGCCUGCAAACGGACGGAAGUCAACAGGCUGUUCCACACGUUGUCGCAGCGUCGACUCGAUGGUGGUCUUCGACCUCACAAAGAUUCAACCACCGGGCCAAACGUGACCACAAUAACCGAACCUGAUCCCCGUCCACGCCUCCGCCUUCUUCCCCGCCUCCCUCAUCCUCUUCUCCGGAGACUCCCUCCGCAGAGAGCACGGGUCCAAUGAAAGACUUCAGAUCGAGGUCAUACAACGACGGCCGGAUGGCGGCGGUGCCUCCUCCGUCCAGCCUCUACGACUACAGGAGCAACAGCACGAGCUCCUACGCCUACGGUGGCUACGGCUCCAAAGGGAUCAAGGAGAAGGAAGCCGCUGCGCCCUCUUCCUCAUCCAAGAAGGGCGGGUGGGUGCUCGGCGACCCUGAUUUCCAGCGGCGGAAGCGCGUCGCCAGCUACAAGGCCUAUGCCGUGGAGGGCAGGGUGAAGGGGUCCGUGAGGAGGGGCUUCCGCUGGCUCAAGGAUAAAUACACCCAAAUCGUCUAUGGCUGGUGGUGAUCCGUCUCCUCCUGAUUGAUGGUUUGUAGAGCUUUGUCGAAGUUAUUGGAUUUUGAAGGUUGAAGGAGGAAGUUGUUUGCUGAUUCCAUUAUCAGCAAUAGUAGUUAUAUUCCAGCCAGAAGUUUCUGCUCAUUGAUUUUUGCCCUAAGGUUUGAAUAAAUAUUGCGUGUUAAAUAAAAGGUAUAUGUUUGUUAUCUAAUAGAGAAAUCUGUCCGAAAUAGUGUACAUCUGCUGAUGGAUCUGAAUACCUGUGAAUAUUAUUGUCAUUUGUCAGGCACGACAUAUACUUUUCCAUA